rnacentral:tRNA from 1 species
UCCCUGGUGGCUCAGACAGUAAAGCAUCUGCCUGCAAUGCGGGAGACCCGGGUUUGAUUCCUGGGUCGGGAA